UUACGGCGAUAUCACGUUGAGAAACCGGUUCCCGUACGAUCACCGAAGCUAAGCAACGACGAGCCUGGUCAGUAGCUAGAUGGGUGACCGCUUUGGAAUACCAGGUGCUGUAA